AACGAACGCUGGCGGCAUGCCUAACACAUGCAAGUCGAACGAGACCUUCGGGUCUAGUGGCGCACGGGUGCGUAACGCGUGGGAACCUGCCCUUAGGUUCGGAAUAACUCCCCGAAAGGGGUGCUAAUACCGGAUAAUGUCUUCGGACCAAAGAUUUAUCGCCUUUGGAUGGGCCCGCGUUGGAUUAGCUAGUUGGUAGGGUAAAAGCCUACCAAGGCGACGAUCCAUAGCUGGUCUGAGAGGAUGAUCAGCCACACUGGGACUGAGACACGGCCCAGACUCCUACGGGAGGCAGCAGUGGGGAAUAUUGGACAAUGGGCGAAAGCCUGAUCCAGCAAUGCCGCGUGAGUGAUGAAGGCCUUAGGGUUGUAAAGCUCUUUUACCCGGGAUGAUAAUGACAGUACCGGGAGAAUAAGCGCCGGCUAACUCCG
rnacentral:rRNA from 1 species